rnacentral:rRNA from 1 species
GACGAACGCUGGCGGCGUGCUUAACACAUGCAAGUCGAACGGAAAGGCCCUGCUUUUGUGGGGUGCUCGAUUGGCGAACGGGUGAGUAACACGUGAGUAACCUGCCCUUGACUUUGGGAUAACUUCAGGAAACUGGGGCUAAUACCGGAUAGGAGCUCCUGCUGCAUGUUGGGGGUUGGAAAGUUUCGGCGGUUGGGGAUGGACUCGCGGCUUAUCAGCUUGUUGGUGGGGUAGUGGCUUACCAAGGCUUUGACGGGUAGCCGGCCUGAGAGGGUUACCGGCGACAUUGGGACUGAGAUACGGCCCAGACUGCUACGGGAGGCAGCAGUGGGGAAUAUUGCACAAUGGGCGGAAGCCUGAUGCAGCAACGCCGCGUGCGGGAUGACGGCCUUCGGGGUGUAAACCGCUUUCGCCUGUGACGAAGCGUGAGUGACGGUAAUGGGUAAAGAAGCACCGGCUAACUACGUG